rnacentral:rRNA from 1 species
GAUGAACGCUGGCGGCGUGCCUAAUACAUGCAGGUCGAGCGAACAGAUGAGGAGCUUGCUCCUCUGACGUUAGCGGCGGACGGGUGAGUAACACGUGGAUAACCUACCUAUAAGACUGGGAUAACUUCGGGAAACCGGAGCUAAUACCGGAUAAUAUAUUGAACCGCAUGGUUCAAUAGUGAAAGACGGUUUUGCUGUCACUUAUAGAUGGAUCCGCGCCGCAUUAGCUAGUUGGUAAGGUAACGGCUUACCAAGGCAACGAUGCGUAGCCGACCUGAGAGGGUGAUCGGCCGCACUGGAACUGAGACACGGUCCAGACUCCUACGGGAGGCAGCAGUAGGGAAUCUUCCGCAAUGGGCGAAAGCCUGACGGAGCAACGCCGCGUGAGUGAUGAAGGUCUUCGGAUCGUAAAACUCUGUUAUUGGGGAAGAACAAAUGUGUAAGUAACUAUGCACGUCUUGACGGUACCUAAUCAGAAAGCCACGGCUAACUACGUG